rnacentral:rRNA from 1 species
AGCUGCUACGGCAGUGAAGUCAUUGAUGCCAUGCUUCCAGGAAAAGCCUCUAAGCUUCAGAUAGUCAGGAAUCGUACCCCAAACCGACACAGGUGGUCGGGUAGAGAAUACCAAGGCGCUUGAGAGAACUCGGGUGAAGGAACUAGGCAAAAUGGUACCGUAACUUCGGGAGAAGGUACGCUCUUGAUGGUGAAGUCCCUCGCGGAUGGAGCUGACGAGAGUCGCAGAUACCAGGUGGCUGCAACUGUUUAUUAAAAACACAGCACUGUGCAAAAUCGCAAGAUGACGUAUACGGUGUGACGCCUGCCCGGUGCCGGAAGGUUAAUUGAUGGGGUUAGCGCAAGCGAAGCUCUUGAUCGAAGCCCCGGUAAACGGCGGCCGUAACUAUAACGGUCCUAAGGUAGCGAAAUUCCUUGUCGGGUAAGUUCCGACCUGCACGAAUGGCGUAAUGAUGGCCACGCUGUCUCCACCCGAGACUCAGUGAAAUUGAAAUCGCUGUGAAGAUGCAGUGUACCCGCGGCUAGACGGAAAGACCCCGUGAACCUUUACUACAGCUUGGCACUGAACAUUGAACCUACAUGUGUAGGAUAGGUGGGAGGCUAUGAAGACGUGACGCCAGUUGCGUUGGAGCCGUCCUUGAAAUACCACCCUUGUAUGUUUGAUGUUCUAACUUAGACCCAUUAUCUGGGUUGAGGACAGUGCCUGGUGGGUAGUUUGACUGGGGCGGUCUCCUCCCAAAGAGUAACGGAGGAGCACGAAGGUGGGCUAAUCACGGUUGGACAUCGUGAGGUUAGUGCAAUGGCAUAAGCCCGCUUAACUGCGAGAAUGACGGUUCGAGCAGGUGCGAAAGCAGGUCAUAGUGAUCCGGUGGUUCUGUAUGGAAGGGCCAUCGCUCAACGGAUAAAAGGUACUCCGGGGAUAACAGGCUGAUACCGCCCAAGAGUUCAUAUCGACGGCGGUGUUUGGCACCUCGAUGUCGGCUCAUCACAUCCUGGGGCUGAAGUCGGUCCCAAGGGUAUGGCUGUUCGCCAUUUAAAGUGGUACGCGAGCUGGGUUUAGAACGUCGUGAGACAGUUCGGUCCCUAUCUGCCGUGGGCGUUGGAAGAUUGAAGGGGGCUGCUCCUAGUACGAGAGGACCGGAGUGGACGAACCUCUGGUGUUCGGGUUGUGUCGCCAGACGCAUUGCCCGGUAGCUAAGUUCGGAAUUGAUAAGCGCUGAAAGCAUCUAAGCGCGAAGCGAGCCCUGAGAUGAGUCUUCCCUGAUACUUUAAGUAUCCUAAAGGGUUGUUCGAGACUAGAACGUUGAUAGGCAGGGUGUGUAAGCGUUGUGAGGCGUUGAGCUAACCUGUACUAAUUGCCCGUGAGGCUUAACCAU